UACGGGGGGGGCAAGCGUUGUUCGGAAUUACUGGGCGUAAAGGGCUCGUAGGCGGCCAACUAAGUCAGACGUGAAAUCCCUCGGCUUAACCGGGGAACUGCGUCUGAUACUGGAUGGCUGGAGUUUGGGAGAGGGAUGCGGAAUUCCAGGUGUAGCGGUGAAAUGCGUAGAUAUCUGGAGGAACACCGGUGGCGAAGGCGGCAUCCUGGACCAAUUCUGACGCUGAGGAGCGAAAGCCAGGGGAGCAAACGGG
rnacentral:rRNA from 1 species